rnacentral:rRNA from 1 species
CAAUCAGACAAGAAUACCCGCUGAAUUUUAAGCAUAUAACUAAGCGGAGGAAAAGAAACUAACAAGGAUUCCUUUAGUAACGGCGAGUGAAGAAGGAAUAGCUCAAAUUUAAAAUCAUUGAUCUUUGAUUAAUGAAUUGUAGUUUUAGAAGUUAGAUUCGUUUUUUAAUAAUAUACUUAAAUCCUUUUGGAAAAAGGUAUCAAAGAAGGUGAUAAUCCUGUUUAUAGUAUAUUAAUUGAGAAACAUAUGUAUCUGAUUUCAAGAGUCGGGUUGUUUGGGAAUGCAACCUAAAAUGGGUGGUAAAUCUCAUCUAAAGCUAAAUAUUGAUAGGAGACCGAUAGCAAACAAGUACCGUGAGGGAAAGGUGAAAAGAACUUUGAAAAGAGAGUUAAAAGUACUUGAAAUUGUUAACAGG